ACCGGCAGCUCAAGUGGUGGCCAUUUUUAUUGGGCCUAAAGCGUUCGUAGCCGGCUUGAUAAGUCUCUGGUGAAAUCCCGCAGCUUAACUGUGGGACUUGCUGGAGAUACUAUUAGACUUGAGGUCGGGAGAGGUUAGGGGUACUCCCAGAGGAGGGGUGACAGCAUAUAAUCCUGGGAGGACUACCUGUGGCGAGGGCGCCUAACUGGAACGCACCCGAUAGUGCGUAAUGUGAGCCAUGGGCGGCCUCCG
rnacentral:rRNA from 1 species